AUUCACAACAUUCCUUCCCCGCCCCUUUGGGCCAGCCCACAAGCCUGGCGGCUGGGGCUGCGCCUACACACGGCUUUGUUUACGGAGGGUCGCUUCCGGCCGCCUCCCGGCCGGGGUUGACUCUCUCUGGGCUGUAUGACCCUGGAAACUCACGCAACCUCUCUGGUACAGUUUGGAUGCUUUGAGAGCCCCCUGGGGCCAGCACAGUCCUUCCUAGAAGUGCGCUUGUGGGCUGUUAACUUAAGAGUUCCUCUUGAGCUGCGAGCUAAGACACCCCAAAUCCUUUCUACGUCUGUGGAACGAACAUGGAACUGCGCAUUUCGACCCAUGAGAGUGGCAGUUUCAUUAGGUUGGACUUAAUGCAUGUCAAAUCCCCCCACUUCGAAUCGCUUUUUUUUCCCCCCUGACUCAGCUUAUAUUUUCCACAGUGCGGAAGCUACGCACCAUCUUCGUCAUUUUUCCAUACCCUACCCUCAUGACCUAAGAGAACCCUGCGUUUUCCUACCCUUGCGGCCUCUCCGGCAUCAUUUAUUCAUCUAUUCCAGGAUUAGACGCCCCACCUCGAACUACCUCUGAAGCUCCCCCACCCCUCUCUCAUUAUGUAACCCGGGUUAGUCUGAUUGGAGAUCCUCUUGCCUCAUGCUCCAGAACUCUUGAGAUACCAGGGACUUAGCUGGGCUUAAGAACCCACUGCCUUGGUCCCAGCACGAUGGCUCAGUGGAUCAAAGUGCUAUCAAGCCUGACUGAGUCUGACCCACAGAACUGAAAAGAUCAAAGAAGAGAAGCCAAUCCUACAAGUUGUCACCUGACAUCCACAUGCACUGUGGCAUGUGCACACAGACAGAAAUACACCUCUCCUGUGGAACUGUGCUGGCCUGGUGUGACUAGCUGCUCUUCUAACACAACAGCAAGUGCCAUCCCACAUACAUGAAGCUGCGAGCUGCACUCCACUAGCAGGUGCCACCAGGACUGGAGCAGGAUCCUCUCCCUCAAGUCCAGCCAGCCUGUGGGGUCAUCUGCAAAGUCCCCGUGCCUUCAGGAUGCUGUCUUGCCAGGGGCAGUGGCCCCUGGCUUCUUUGAUGCUCCCUUCAGCAGUGCAAGCUUCUUAGGCAGGCUGGAGCUGGCCUUCAUCACCACGUCAUGCUCGAUCUUCUUCCGGAUCCCCACUUCCAGGCUCUGUGGGGACACACAGCAAGUCCUUACUCUGCCUGAACAUACACACACCUUCCUUUUGUUCUUUGUCAACGGCUUCAGACUCAAGAUCUUCCUACCUUCAUUCACCCCCGCAGGCCUAUAUGCUACUAUGCUCCAGGUCAAAAGCAAACUGAAUCCUUCUAUCUCUGUGUCUUUGCUCACACCCAUUUUACAGAUGGGAAAACAGAGGCUCUUGCAUUAAGCCCAGGGUCCGAAAGCCAGGGAUAAUGGUGAUAGCCCUUUCUGUCUCAUGUCUUACCCACUUUCCUAGGGCUCCAAGUGAGGAAGUUUAAGUCACUGACUGGCAGCUACCCACACCACUCCUGCUCUGCCUGAGCUCCUAUGACCAUGACGGCUUUGUGGGGUGAGCAUAGGAGUUCUGAGGAAGACAACACUGUGUCAGUCAUGAGAACAUAAGAAAAAUACCACUAAUAAAAAAGGUUCCAGGGA